GAUUCAUCUUCUAUCUCUAGAGUCCAGAUCGAGCCAACUACGAUUGCUGAAAGCUAGCCCAAACUCCCAUCCGUGCGGUCAACUGCUCCUGCUGGUUUCUGUUACCGAAGAUUGGGAUAGGUGGGACAUCAAACAAAUCCUAACAAACUCACCGCUACCACCUGUAGUCUUGGCCAUGAGUUUAUCUGCUGCCGGAUUCUCCGUGCCAUGGCCGGUCUUCCUUUUCUCCCCUGCCGAACUCAAGGUCUGCUAUCUCCUGCGCAUCCGGCGGGGAUUCCGGGAGCAACAAGAACACCGCAACAACCGCGAGGAAUCCAUCCUUUCUCCCCCCGUGCUAUAAAAACCGGGCGUCGUGUUUCCCCUGCCCACCAAAACCAAAUCCAGAACUCUCCCUGGGAAUUUGGUGGCCGAUUUGCCACCGCGUGGGUGUGGUGGGGCAUGCGCCGAACGACUUCUGCGUUGGAGCUCCAGCGCCAGGGGGGAAACUGUCGCGCCAUCGCUGGGCCGCGGCUCAGAUUGCUGGGGUGGCCGGAGUCACCGGAUCGGAAUUCAGAACACUAGCGUCGACGACACGGGGCGCUCAAGCGUGAGGACACGUGUCAUCUGAAGAGCAAGUUGGUACCUGGAAUCUCAAGUCCCAGGUCAAGAACAGGUACCACAGAAUGAGGCGCAUGGAGGAUGCUGCGACGUGUUCGUGAGAGGUCUAGGACGUCGUCUCCCAGUCAACUUUGGGUUGCUGGACAGUUGUCUCCUUAUAAUGUUGGCAAAAAGGGUGCGCAAAUUAUCCUCCUCAUCACAAGAGU
rnacentral:misc_RNA from 1 species